AAUUCGCCUCUAAAUUCCAUAGGAACCGGCCUUAGUUCCACAUUCAUAUAGGUGAGUCUAUCAAGAGUACUCCUGAAGCUCGGUACUCCACUCAUACAGAGUAUAGAUCUCAUUAAGAGUUUUAUUAUCUCAUCCUUUCGCUUUCAGGAAUCAUGCUUUUCUUAUUUUUACUUGCAUGAUCAUCUUUAACUCCUCACAACUUGUUAUUACCCA
rnacentral:lncRNA from 1 species